GAGUUUGAUCCUGGCUCAGGAUUAACGCUGGCGGCAUGCCUAAUACAUGCAAAUCGAACGAAGCCUUUUAGGCUUAGUGGUGAACGGGUGAGUAACACGUAUCCAAUCUACCCUUAAGUUGGGGAUAACUAGUCGAAAGAUUAGCUAAUACCGAAUAAUAACAUAACUAUCGCAUGAUAGAUAUGUAGAAAGUCGCGUUUGCGACGCUUUUGGAUGAGGGUGCGACGUAUCAGAUAGUUGGUGAGGUAACGGCUCACCAAGUCAAUGACGCGUAGCUGUACUGAGAGGUAGAACAGCCACAAUGGGACUGAGACACGGCCCAUACUCCUACGGGAGGCAGCAGUAGGGAAUUUUUCACAAUGGGCGAAAGCCUUAUGAAGCAAUGCCGCGUGAACGAUGAAGGUCUAAGAGAUUGUAAAGUUCUUUUAUUUGGGAAGAAACGUUUAAAUAGGAAAUGAUUUAAAUUUGACUGUACCAUUUGAAUAAGUAUCGGCUAACUAUGUGCCAGCAGCCGCGGUAAUACAUAGGAUGCAAGCGUUAUCCGGAUUUACUGGGCGUAAAACGAGCGCAGGCGGGUCUGCAAGUUUGGUAUGAAAUCUAGAUGCUCAACGUCUAGCUGUAUCAAAAACUGCAAACCUAGAGUGUAGUAGGGAAUUGGGGAACUCCAUGUGGAGCGGUAAAAUGCGUAGAUAUAUGGAAGAACACCGGUGGCGAAGGCGCCCACUUGGACUAUACACUGACGCUUAGGCUCGAAAAGUGUGGGGAGCAAAUAGGAUUAGAUACCCUAGUAGUCCACACCGUAAACGAUCAUCAUUAAAUGUCGACCCGGAUGGGUCGGUGUUGUAGCUAACGCAUUAAAUGAUGUGCCUGGGUAGUACAUUCGCUAGAAUGAAACUCAAACGGAAUUGACGGGGACCCGCACAAGUGGUGGAGCAUGUUGCUUAAUUUGCCGAUACACGUAGAACCGUACCUAGGUUUGACAUCUACUGCAAAGCUAUAGAAAUAUAGUGGAGGUUAACAAUAUGACAGGUGGUGCAUGGUUGUCGUCAGCUCGUGUCGUGAGAUGUUGGGUUAAGUCCCGCAACGAGCGCAACCCCUUUCGUUAGUUAAUUUUCUAAUCGAUACUGCUACCGCAAGGUAGAGGAAGGUGGGGAUGACGUCAAAUCAUCAUGCCCCUUAUAUCUAGGGCUGCAAACGUGCUACAAUGGUUAUUACAAACUGUUGCCAAACCGUAAGGUGAAGCGAAUCAGAUAAAGAUAGUCUCAGUUCGGAUUGAGGGCUGCAAUUCGCCCUCAUGAAGUUGGAAUCACUAGUAAUCGCGAAUCAGAAAUGUCGCGGGGAUUACGUCCUCGGGUCUGGUACACACCGCCCGCCAAACUAUGGGAGCUAGUAAUAUCUAAAACCGUGCUGUAAACCGUUCGGGGAGGAAUACGUCUAGGGUAGGAUUGGGGAUUGGAGUAAAGUCGUAACAAGGUAUCC
rnacentral:rRNA from 1 species